rnacentral:rRNA from 1 species
CCUACGGGAGGCAGCAGUGAGGAAUAUUGGUCAAUGGACGAGAGUCUGAACCAGCCAAGUAGCGUGAAGGAUGACUGCUCUAUGGGUUGUAAACUUCUUUUAUAAAGGAAUAAAACGAGGCACGUGUGCCUUUUUGCAUGUACUUUAUGAAUAAGGAUCGGCUAACUCCGCGCCAGCAGCCGCGGUAAUACGGAGGAUCCGAGCGUUAUCCGGAUUUAUUGGGUUUAAAGGGAGCGUAGAUGGGUUGUUAAGUCAGUUGUGAAAGUUUGCGGCUCAACCGUAAAAUUGCAAUUGAUACUGGCAGUCUUGAGUACAGUUGAGGUAGGCGGAAUUCGUGGUGUAGCGGUGAAAUGCUUAGAUAUCACGAAGAACCCCGAUUGCGAAGGCAGCUUACUAAACUGUGACUGACAUUGAUGCUCGAAAGUGUGGGGAUCAAACAGGAUUAGAUACCCGUGUAGUC